rnacentral:lncRNA from 1 species
CAUGAUUACGUUUUAUAGCUUACAAUGCUGCUUCUGUACCAACACGGCCCAUAACAAUUCCUGUGAAAACAAGUCAACCGACAACUUCAGAAAAGACGAGCAGAGCAGCUACAGCAGCCACAACAAGUGCCAAUGUAAACUUAACGAUGACAAAAUCAAAAGGUUUGCAGGGCGCUCGCUCGGAUCCAGGAAAGCAUGGUGUUUCAACCGUUACUAUAGUCCUCGUGGUAGUUGCAGUAUUAAUUGUCAUAGCGGUCAGCGUAUACUGCAUCAGACGAAAGAGACUGGGGCAAAGAACAAAACGGAUGUCAAAUCCAAGGUUUCUGGUUCAAGGAAAAGACAAGGAAAGCUACAGUUACCAUGAUCUGGAGGAACACGAGUUUACGGGGGAAAUACCAGAUUUAUAUCCUCCAUCAUAACUACUUCUGAACCAAUACUGAUCUGAAUUAACUUGUGCUUUUUUAAAGGCCAGUUUAGGAGGGUAAAACGUCGGUCAAAAGUAAAACUUUCUAAAAACAAAGCAGAAUUAAACCGCUCUUUAUGCAAAAAACUAACCGCCUGGAAAUUAAUUUCAGCUGGAAUUUGUUUUUAACAUAGAACUCCACGAAACGAAAAAGUAUUCAAUUGUUUAUUCAUUCUGUAAUAUGGGUUUACCUCUCUAAUUUUUGUCGUUUUUAAUUUCGUGCGAAAGCAUUUGAGAAUAGAGUGAAAUACAUUGAUUAUCAAAGUUUGCCCCAAAAACCUUUUCUAGAAUUUAUGGUAUCCGGAUAUUUGUCAUAUUGUAAAGUGAAGGACUCCUGGAAAUUCUCAAAUUGCCAAAAGGAACUCCAGUCGUGGUUAUUUAUUUAACCUCAAAUGAUUCCAGGGUUUUUGAAGGCUUCUGUUUAUUUUUCUCCAUGUCUGAUUAAAUAUUAAAAACAUUUUUUAAUUAUGCUGGGAUCAGUUAAUGUAUCUCCAGAUGACGUCAAAAAGUGACGUCACUACCGCUUUUGUUUGUCACUCGUAUGGCUAUUUCUGUCUCUAUUCAUAAUUUUUGACGGUUUGAGUGCCUCAAUGUUGCGUAAAUAAUAGUGUUAAUGACCUCAAAAUAGAUUAAGGAUACGCCCAAAAGAGAAAUUUGUUUGAGUACUUCUUUCGUUUCUUGAAUCGAAAACGUGUCACUUAUCACUUGUUCAUUGCUCUAGUCAAGUGAACAUGUUCUAUUUUUCCGCAUAAUAAACUAUGUAGACGAAAACAGGGAGGAAGUUCCAUCCAUAUUACUACAGUGAUCAUAACUUCCUAGAUGAUGCCGCAGAUAUUUGAAGAAUCGUCAACGAGUGGAGCUUGGUUUGACUCUUCCGAUGGUGAGAGUCCUUCUUAAACAUCUUC